UGCGGAAGUAGUUCAGUGGUAGAACAUCACCUUGCCAAGGUGGGGGUCGCGGGUUCGAACCCCGUCUUCCGCU
rnacentral:tRNA from 1 species